rnacentral:rRNA from 1 species
CGGCAACAGCUCAAAUUUGAAAUCUGGCGUCUUCGACGUCCGAGUUGUAAUUUGCAGAGGGCGCUUUGGCAUUGGCAGCGGUCCAAGUUCCUUGGAACAGGACGUCAUAGAGGGUGAGAAUCCCGU